ACCGCAGUCGCACCUCUUCAAUUUAUAUGCUCCCAAGUCCCAACAAUUGACUGCACAAGUGCAAUUGCUACCAAGUUACGAAAAAUUCAAUUCUCUUCCAUAUAAUGCUUUGGACCUUCGGUGGAUUGGGUGGUGCAGGAAGACAUCGUCACUCCCUGUCUUCUUUUACGGGAGGAACCCCAAAUUUAAUCACAAGUUGGAUCUCGCGCAUGACAAAGAGGCUCAGCAUCGCUCCCCUUCAGCCAAUAUAUACUGGUUAGUUGAUAAUGUUUUUUUGUUGGGGAUUGUCUUAUAUGAAGCAUGGUAUCAAGUAUCAGUGGCUAUGUACAUACCUUGAAUUUCAAAUGCUUAUAAUAGUUUCUGUUAUAUUGUCCAUUCGCCCCAUUAAAUAUGUCAUUUUCAUUUAUGGAAAGUUUUUAUU